AAAUAGAUACCCUGGUAGUCCACGCCCUAAACGAUGUCUACUAGUUGUCGGGGGGUAACUCCUUCGGUAACGCAGCUAACGCGUGAAGUAGACCGCCUGGGGAGUACGGUCGCAAGAUUAAAACUCAAAGGAAUUGACGGGGACCCGCACAAGCGGUGGAUGAUGUGGAUUAAUUCGAUGCAACGCGAAAAACCUUACCUACCCUUGACAUGCCACUAACGAAGCAGAGAUGCAUUAGGUGCCCGAAAGGGAAAGUGGACACAGGUGCUGCAUGGCUGUCGUCAGCUCGUGUCGUGAGAUGUUGGGUUAAGUCCCGCAACGAGCGCAACCCUUGCCAAUAGUUGCUACGAAAGGGCACUCUAUUGGGACUGCCGGUGACAAACCGGAGGAAGGUGGGGAUGACGUCAAGUCCUCAUGGCCCUUAUGGGUAGGGCUUCACACGUCAUACAAUGGCUGGUACAGAGGGUUGCCAACCCGCGAGGGGGGAGCCAAUCCCACAAAACCAGUCGUAGUCCGGAUUGCAGUCUGCAACUCGA
rnacentral:rRNA from 1 species